rnacentral:rRNA from 1 species
GAUGAACGCUGGCGGCGUGCUUAAUACAUGCAAGUCGAGCGAGCGGACGAGAAGCUAGCUUCUCUGCUGUUAGCGGCGGACGGGGGAGUAACACGUGGAUAACCUACCUAUAAGACUGGGAUAACUUCGGGAAACCGGGGCUAAUACCGGAGAAUAUUUUGCACCACAUGGUUCCAAAGUGAAAGACGGUCUUGCUGACACUUAUAGAUGGAUCCGCGCUGCAUUAGCUAGUUGGUAAGGUAACGGCUUACCAAGGCUACGAUGCAUAGCCGACCUGAGAGGGUGGUUGGCCACACUGGAACUGAGACAGGGUCCAGACUCCUACGGGAGGCAGCAGUAGGGAAUCUUCCGCGAUGGGCGAGAGCCUGACGGAGCAACGCCGCGUGAGUGAUGAAGGUCUUCGGAUCGUAAAACUCUGUUAUUAGGGAAGAACAUAUGUGUAAGUAACUGUGAACAUCUUGACGGUACCUAAUCAGAAAGCCACGGCUAACUACGUG